GACGAACGCUGGCGGCGUGCUUAACACAUGCAAGUCGAGCGGUAAGGCCUUUCGGGGUACACGAGCGGCGAACGGGUGAGUAACACGUGGGUGAUCUGCCCUGCACUUCGGGAUAAGCCUGGGAAACUGGGUCUAAUACCGCAUAUGACCUCCUAUCGCAUGGUGGGUGGUGGAAAGAUUUAUCGGUGCAGGAUGGGCCCGCGGCCUAUCAGCUUGUUGGUGGGGUAAUGGCCUACCAAGGCGACGACGGGUAGCCGACCUGAGAGGGUGACCGGCCACACUGGGACUGAGACACGGCCCAGACUCCUACGGGAGGCAGCAGUGGGGAAUAUUGCACAAUGGGCGAAAGCCUGAUGCAGCGACGCCGCGUGAGGGAUGACGGCCUUCGGGUUGUAAACCUCUUUCAGCAGGGACGAAGCGCAAGUGACGGUACCUGCAGAAGAAGCACCGGCUAACUACGUG
rnacentral:rRNA from 1 species